rnacentral:piRNA from 1 species
UGAUUGGUAAAAAGCAACCCUCUCUGCUCU